rnacentral:rRNA from 1 species
UACGGAGGUGGCAAGCGUUGUUCGGAAUUACUGGGCGUAAAGGGCGCGUAGGCGGCAAGGCAAGUCAGGUGUGAAAGCCCCGGGCUUAACUCGGGAAUUGCAUCUGAAACUGCUGUGCUUGAGUUCUGGAGGGGGUAGUGGAAUUCCAGGUGUAGCGGUGAAAUGCGUAGAUAUCGGGAGGAACACCUGAGGCGAAGGCGGGCUACUGGGCCGAUACUGACGCUGAGGCGCGAAAGCCAGGGGAGCAAACGGG